rnacentral:rRNA from 1 species
GACGAACGCUGGCGGCGUGCUUAACACAUGCAAGUCGAACGGAAAGGCCCUGCUUUUGUGGGGUGCUCGAGUGGCGAACGGGUGAGUAACACGUGAGUAACCUGCCCUUGACUUUGGGAUAACUUCAGGAAACUGGGGCUAAUACCGGAUAGGAGCGCCUGCUGCAUGGUGGGGGUUGGAAAGUUUCGGCGGUUGGGGAUGGACUCGCGGCUUAUCAGUGUGUUGGUGGGGUAGUGGCUUACCAAGGCUUUGGAGGGUAGCGGGCCUGAGAGGGUGACCGGCCACAUUGGGACUGGGGUACGGCCCAGACUCCUACGGGGGGCAGCAGUGGGGAAUAUUGCACAAUGGGCGGAAGCCUGAUGCAGCAACGCCGCGUGCGGGAUGACGGCCUUCGGGUUGUAAACCGCUUUCGCCUGUGACGAAGCGUGAGUGACGGUAAUGGGUAAAGAAGCACCGGCUAACUACGUG